rnacentral:rRNA from 1 species
CCCAAGAGAUCGGGAUAACACCUGGAAACAGAUGCUAAUACCGGAUAACAAUAGAUGAUGCCUAUCAACUGUUUAAAAGAUGGUUCUGCUAUCACUCUUGGAUGGACCUGCGGUGCAUUAGCUAGUUGGUAGGGUAACGGCCUACCAAGGCGAUGAUGCAUAGCCGAGUUGAGAGACUGAUCGGCCACAUUGGGACUGAGACACGGCCCAAACUCCUACGGGAGGCAGCAGGU